UACGUAGGGUGCAGGCGUUAAUCGGAAUUACUGGGCGUAAAGCGUGCGCAGGCGGUGAUGUAAGACAGAUGUGAAAGCCCCGGGCUUAGCCUGGGAAUGGCAUUUGGGACUGCAAGGCUGGAGUUUGGCAGAGGAGACUGGAAUUCCUGGUGUAGCAGUGAAAUGCGUAGAUAUCAGGAGGAAUACCGAUGGCGAAGGCAGGUCUCUGGGCUAUAACUGACGCUCAUGCACGAAAGCGUGGGGAGCAAACAGG
rnacentral:rRNA from 1 species